UUCACACAGCGCUAUUGCCUAUGAUUCCACUGGUUGGACUCCACCAAUCGUUGCUGCCGCUGUUGCCUCCACCGGUAAUUGUUGCUGCUACUUUUGGUCUCUGUACAAGUUAGAUUUUAAUUUAUUGGAGUUUAAUAGAUUUGAGACUAAGAGAGCAUUGAUGUUGAGUGAAACUAUGAAAGGGAGAGUGAGAAUGAUUGAGUGAAAAAAAAAGCAUAAAGAAAAAAAAGGGAAAGAGAGGAGAGAGUGUACUUGCAAGGUGAAGCCUAAACUUGAAUACUUGGGUGUUGGAGCCGAUGGUCUAUACAAGAGAAUUGAGAAAGAUAGAGGUCUCUCAAAUAACCGUAGUUACAAGCCGAUGUAUCCCUCAAUUGCCGAAGUGCCAAAUCGAUGUAUCCGUUUGCUCUCCAUUCCACACAGGGCCGUAGAAUAAAAUCUUCUGCCAAUAAAACACAUUUCAAGCCUAUACCAACAUAUCUCACACUGCACAUCUUAAUUUGAGAAUGGGACCGGACCCGCUUUUUAUGAAUGUACGGUGUAAAAUCAUGCUGAUAAAGGGUUGAAACGUAUUAUAUUGGCAGGUGAUCCGGACAUGAAAUUGAGAACAAGCGUGACUGAUGCACGAUUGCUCGACGUGGCUCCAGCAUGCGGAGACACCUUGCUUUGUGAAUCCAAAGGUUCCGGUAUGAGCCGUCCUUGAGACCUGAAAGCCACAGUACCGGCGGCGAUUCACGACAGAAGUCGGUAAAUCUCCCACCCCCCUCUCUCUCUCUCCUCCCCAUUCUGGCUCGGGUCCGGAUCAUCUGCCAACAAAACACGCUCCAAUAUCUACAUAUCUUCUCUGCUUCUCUUUACCAUGUCUUACUGUCCAGCCCCUGUUCUUCGCCAUUCAUGGUUAUCUCAUGCACAAGCAGAUGAAUGCAAGUGAAAACACAUUUUGUUACUUCAUAUGUACGGCGUCUUCUGCAAACAGGUUCUAGUUCGCAGUUUACUUGGGGGCAUGCAAGGGUUCCACCGGAGAAAAAUCGAUCUGAAUGUCCAACCAGCAAUUCGACAGGACUUUAUCGAAUUCAAGUCGAACAUAGAUGCAAUGGAUCCUAUUCAAAUCAGACCCUUUUACAGAGGUUCUCGAGUUUAGCUAGUCAUGGAGUUGACAGAAGAGUGCUACAUUGGGAGUCAUCCAUUCUUGGGAAAUGGUUCUGUCAUAUGUUCGGAUUUUAUCUAUUGGGAUUUUCUUCAUUGAAGAUUGGGUUUGGGCUUCUUAUUGGAUCAACAGAAUUUUGGUAAUCUAGCCCACUUCUGGGCAGUGUUAUCUUAGACUUGUAUCUGUAGGAGUAUCUUUCGAUUGGUUCUAGCAGACUGGCAUUCUUGUCGGUGCCGCUUGGUCAUAAAUGGAAAUCUUGGGUGUACUAAAAUGAUGGAGAUAUUGCAUCAGUUGAUAAGUGAACCUCAUCGUACAUGAAGUGGGUAGCCUGGACGCUUUAAUUGGGGGAUCUAAACUUUCUGGGCGUCAUAUGGGUUCGACACUUGGACUUAACCGUAUGUGGUCUUUUCGUGUAUACUCUCUCGCCCUCUCUCUGGAAAUGGUUCCCUGCAAUGAAAUGAAAAGUGUGGUAUUCAAUCAUGAUGCGGGCAAGUUCUCUGCGAGGAAAAACAUGGUAAAGACCUGAGGAAAUUCGAUAACAGAAGAAUUGGGGAGGUGGGACAUCUUCAAACCAAUGUGGAGGACUUGGAUUAGCGCUUUGGGGUGAUGGCAGGAUGCCUGGUACAACACUUAUGAGGGGUUGAACCUGCUAGUCGCUGUGCUUUUAUGGAGAGAUGAUUGCUGAUUACGUAGGAGACUUUGGACCUGUGGCGAUUGUUUUCCAACUUAAAGUUCAGACUCGCAAUGAUGAUUGAUGAAGACUGGUGUAUUAUAUGGUUCAUACCCAAUUCUGGGCCAGUUUGCUUUCCAUUUACAAAGGCGACCGUAUCGACAGCUGGUAGUUGGUGGUGUUGGACCUGUUAGUGUUAUUCCAUUUCUCAAAGAGGGAAAAGGAAUGGAGGCCAAAGCAAGGCAUGCAGAAGUCACAUGCUCACUAUGAGGUUGGCUUGUGUUAUUCCAUUUCAAGCAAUGAAGGGUUGGACCUGGAAACACUGUUCGUUCUGAUCCGAUUCUUGAACUACAAGUGGCUCAGUUUGGAAGGAGUACAAAGACAAAUGUGUAAAGUGCAAAAUCUUUUAUUUUGUAUUAUUUUGUAUGUAUGUGCACUGCACUUGUUUGUAUUUGUACUCCUUCCAAAGUAAGCCAAACCGGGUUUAAAUAUUACAAAGGGCAAUAAUAAGGUUUCUAAAACAUGGACCUACACGGCUACAGCUACGGCCAUUUAAUGUGUGUGAAGUUGUGAGCUCUUAAAGUUGGGUAGGUUAAUAUCUUAUUAUUUAAUUAUUUUAUACAGGACAAAGCAAUAAAUUGUUCAGUUCAGCAGUCUCUGAUAUUGAAUGGCCAUUCAAGUGAAAAUUUUCAUAACCCUCCCUCCAAAAUCCAAAUGCAAUAAACAAGGUUAAGCAAUGAGCUGAGAUGGGACAAUGAAAAUAUACAUGUGAUUUGAUUGAGAACCAUGGAGGGGCUGUGGACGGGGAUGAAGCA